rnacentral:rRNA from 1 species
AGUGAACGCUGGCGGUAGGCCUAACACAUGCAAGUCGAACGGCAGCACAGUAAGAUCUUUCUCUUACGGUUGGCGAGUGGCGGACGGGUGAGGAAUACAUCGGAAUCUACUUUUUCGUGGGUGAUAACGUAAGGAAACUUACGCUAAUACCGCAUACGACCUACGGGUGAAAGCAGUGGAUCUUCGGACCUUGCGCGAUUGAAUGAGCCGAUGUCGGAUUAGCUAGUUGGCUGGGUAAAGGCCCACCAAGGCGACGAUCCGUAGCUGGUCUGAGAGGAUGAUCAGCCACACUGGAACUGAGACACGGUCCAGACUCCUACGGGAGGCAGCAGUGGGGAAUAUUGGACAAUGGGCGCAAGCCUGAUCCAGCCAUACCGCGUGGGUGAAGAAGGUCUUCGGGUUGUAAAGCCCUUUUGUUGGGAAAGAAAAGCAGCAGGUUAAUACCUCGCUGUUCUGACGGUACCCAAAGAAUAAGCACCGGCUAACUUCGUG